UACGGGGGGGGUAAGCGUUGUUCGGAAUUACUGGGCGUAAAGGGCUCGUAGGCGGCCAACUAAGUCAGACGUGAAAUCCCUCAGCUUAACUGGGGAACUGCGUCUGAUACUGGAUGGCUUGGAUUCGGGAGAGGGAUGCGGAAUUCCAGGUGUAGCGGUGAAAUGCGUAGAUAUCUGGAGGAACACCGGUGGCGAAGGCGGCAUCCUGGACCGAGAUUGACGCUGAACAGCGAAAGCUAGGGGAGCAAACGGG
rnacentral:rRNA from 1 species